UGAAGUUAUUCUCACAAGGGGGCGGCAUUUUCCCUUGAAAUGGUUUUUAUCCUACGCAGGACUAGGAAAUGCACCGUAUGGAUAGAGAAGGCUGGAUUUCCAGGGCUGGAGAUAAAAGUGGUAUCCCCAGACUCAGAGAACAACUGGAUGAACUGGAGAAAGCAGGGAAGCCACCACCACCAGACCAGCCAGCAGCAGCAGCCCAGCCAGCACACUCAGCCACAGGGUUAGGGCCGUGGGCCCUUUGCUGGGGGGGAACACCCUC